ensembl:lncRNA
CCACGAGGUGUGCAUGGCGUUUUCUCUUGCACACAGCAGCUCAGACAGGGUUGCCAGAAGGGAGAGAAAUGAGGUGAAGGUGGAGGGUUAUAUAAGCCGCCCGGGCUCACGGGGGAAGCUCGUUUGGUCGUGGGAACCGGGCUGUUGCGUGUGCGUGCGUGUUGCUGUCUCCCAAACUCGUCUUCAUUAAACUUCCACCCCACAGAAGUUGUGAGCUACAUUUUUAGUUCUGUCUCUCCUCUGAGGUUUAGGAAUACUUUCUGGAUGAGCUUUUUCUUUUCUAGCACUGAGAACCAAGCCCAGGGCCUUUGCACCGAGCUCCAUCCCAAGCUCAUUUAUUUAUUUACUUACUUGUUUACUUUGUAAAUUUUGAGACCGGGUCUAAGCUGCUAAGUUGCCCAAGCUGAGCUUGAACUUGCGAUCCUCCCGCCUCAGCCUCCCACUCCUUAAAUAUUUGAUCAGUUCCAUAGCAACGGCUAGCUCUCUAUUUUCAGACACAGCCCAGCCAGACUCCGGUUUCCAAAGCUCUCUCCGUAUGCGUGAGCGUCCGCCGUCAGCCGCGCGCAGUGAACAGGGAAAAGGGAACCCAGGCCCCGCGUGCGUCCUGGAGUCAGGAAAGCAAUUUUGCAGCGUCUCGUGGGCGGGUUUCUGCCUCCCAGGCUCCUGGGCCCAGGGUCUCUGAAGGGACAGAGAGCUCUGGUGGCAGUGAAGCCUUCUGUCAUCCUGCCCACCAGGUCAAGCCAGGGCGCCAGACCACCAGUAGACCAUGGCUCCAACAGGCAGCUCAGGCCCUUGGAGGUCGCAAGCAGCCCAACCCUCCUCUGGGGCUACCCAACCAGCACGCCACCCCAGCUGCACUACGGGGGAGAAGGGUGGGUGACUGUUGCUGAGGAUUAAGGCCCUCUCCCCCUUCACCCAUCUUGCCAAGCCAUGACCAAGAGAUCAGGCUCCUGGGCAGUUCACCUCGGGGGGCCAUGUGGGGAUCCCCAACCUCCAUCCAGCCUCUGGUCACCGCUGGCCACCCCUGCCCAGCUGCCUGGCUCUCUCUGCUGUGACAGCGUCCUCAGCCUCAUCCUUGUGCAUAGUGACAACAUCCCUGGGUCCCAUUGUCGUCCGAGGGUCAGGCCAGGGGGAGUGUUGACCUGCACCCCUGGCUGGAUGGGCCCCCCUGGAGGACCGUCACCUUCUAACGAUGCCAUCGCCAGGGUAGGUGCCGCUGGGGACCUACCCCACGUCAUUCUCAGAUGCAAGCCACGCCACGCGCCAAUGCCAAUCCCAGCCAGUGGUCCCGGCCUCCUCAUGUGUGCAGAGCAAGCAGCCGGCUGGGAAAAAGACACCCAAGGGGCUCCCUGGGUUCCUCCAGCCGAGUUACCUAGGAUGUUCUGGUGUCAUCUUGCAAAGAGGAGAGACCGUGUCUUAGAAGCAGAGAAUCACCCUGUGAAAUGGUGGACUAGAGAUUUUGCAGGUGCAAUGAGAGGGCUCUGGGACAUUCUAGUAGCAUAUCCAGCAUUUAGUUCCUUUGGAACGCGAACCUAUGCAUAAGGCACUUUCUCCAGUGCAUCCUGUGUGAGACUCCUCUGGCUACCAGGAAGGACCCCAGACCUCCCUGCCCUGUGCUUGGCUGACAGCAGAAUGAAGGAGGUCUCCAUGUGGAGCUGUAAAGUCCAUGUGAACAUCCGUGCUGCGGUGCCCCCAGCAGCACCCGCCCCUCGUCCUGUUGGUCUGUGCCCUGGUGAGCUUUUUCUACACUCUUCCUCCACACCGCCGCUGUCGUCCCGUUCUGCAGGUGUGAAUUUUGAUGCCUCGGUGUUGUCCUGUCAUCGCUUCCGCCUCCGUGUGUGCAGGGAGGCUGUGAGGAUGGAGCUGAGACAUUACAGCUAUUCCAGACAAUAAAAUAUUUUUG